UACGUAGGUGGCAAGCGUUGUCCGGAUUCACUGGGUGUAAAGGGUGUGUAGGCGGGACGGUGUGUCAGAGGUGAAAGCCCACGGCUUAACCGUGGAACUGCCUUUGAAACUGCCGUUCUUGAGUCUCGGAGAGGUCGCUGGAAUUCGUGGUGUAGCGGUGAAAUGCGUAGAUAUCACGAGGAACACCAGAGGCGUAGGCGGGCGACUGGACGAGUACUGACGCUGAGGCACGAAAGCGUGGGGAGCAAACAGG
rnacentral:rRNA from 1 species